CCUACGGGUGACAGCAGUGGGGAAUAUUGGGCAAUGGAGGAAACUCUGACCCAGCAACGCCGCGUGAAUGAUGAAGGUCCUCGGAUUGUAAAGCUCCUUUCUUAGGGGAGAAGAAAGUGACGGUACUUUAGGAAUAAGCCUCGGCUAACAACGUGCAAGCAGCAGCGGGAAUACGUCGGGGGCGAGCGUUAUCCGGAAGGACUGGGCGUAAGGGGUGCGUAGGUGGUUUGGGAAGUUAGUAGCGAAACUCCAAGGCUCAACCUUGGAACUACUACUAAAACUGUUGGACUUGAGUGCAGGAGGGGCAACCGGAAUUCCUGGUGUAGCGGUGGAAUGCGUAGAUAUUAGGAGGAACACCAGUGGCGAAGGCGGGUUGCUGGACUGUAACUGACGCUGAGGCACGAAGGCGUGGGGAGCGAACAGGAUUAGAUACCCCUGUAGUC
rnacentral:rRNA from 1 species